rnacentral:rRNA from 1 species
UACGGAGGGGGCUAGCGUUGUUCGGAAUUACUGGGCGUAAAGCGCGCGUAGGCGGACCUGCAAGUCGGGGGUGAAAGCCCGAGGCUCAACCUCGGAACUGCCUUCGAUACUGCGGGUCUCGAGUCCGGGAGAGGUGAGUGGAAUUCCUAGUGUAGAGGUGAAAUUCGUAGGAUAAUGGGGAGGAACACCGGUGGCGAAGGCGACCAUCUGGACGGAUACUGACGCUGAGACGCGAAAGCGUGGGUAGCAAACAGG